UUCAGUCUUGAUGCUGCAAAGAAGAAGGCUGUGGAGUCUGAGGCUGAGGGCAACGAAGAAUUGAU
rnacentral:sRNA from 1 species